UGUGGUCUGGGCUCAACCAGCCAAAAGAGCAACAAAGACUCCAGAACCCACUCUACCUCCUCAAUCCCUUGGCCAUCUGUGGAGCCCCAGAGCCUGCGGCUGUGGCAAGGCCUGUUUCUGCGCUGGACCUGCUCACCUGAGCCUGCAGAAGCUGCAUGGGGGAAGAGUGUGGCAAAUAGUGACAGGAAGGGAGAAGACAGAAGCCUCUCAGCCAACUGCUUCAGCCGAGCCCCUAUUCUAAGCACUGGCUCCUUGGAUAGCAGCUGAGAUGUUCCUGAAACCUCUGCAGGCCCCUUAGG
rnacentral:lncRNA from 1 species